UGGUGAAUAAGUAGAUGUCAGAUCAAACAACAGUGCUACUCUUAGAAACUGUAAGGAAAUAUUCUGUGGGAAGAGGAGAUUGAAACUCUUGUCAAAGAGAGAUUGUAUGAUGAAGAAGAAUGUUGGAGCCACAGAGAGUCUGAAUCCCAGCUGCUUCUCAGUUUCCUCAACCUUAGAAUGGAGUUUGCAUGGCGAUUAUAAAAGCAGGAAAAAAGAAAAAAAAGUAAAUAAAGUACCCAGCGGAGAACCAAAGAACAAUAUAUAAGGAAGUAAAGAAAAAAAAUGGACAUUCAUGAAUACAAUUUCUUCCACUAAUGUAUUCACUUUCUUGAUUUGGUAAUUUGUUGUUAUAUAUUUUGAAUCCUCCCUGAUGUUCUGCCGGAUACAUGACAAUAUUCUCUUUGGGCUUGUUUUAUUUUGUUUUCUAGUUCUUUUCUGUUUAUCUUUUUUUUUUUUUUUUUACUUUUUUCCAAUAAAAUAAAUUUAAAAACUAGAAAAAAAAAAGAAAAAGUAUGCCUUCCUCUCUUUUCUGAAGAAGUACAGGAUUCUGGAUGUGGAAUAUACUAAAUAUUGUCAGAAACAAUCAAUAUUUUGAUUAGAUUUACUGAACUCUUGCCUUGGGGCAACUAGCUGAUAUACUAGUAUAGAAUGUUAGACCUGGAGUCAAGAAGACCUGAGUUCAAAUCCAGCCUCAAACACAUAAUAACUGUGGGACCCUGGGCAAGUCACCUAAAAAACAAAGUUAGUUUGCUUCAGUUUCCCCAAG